AAAAAAUUCGACCAAGAAUGACAGGAUUCAUCAAUCCUCUGCUGCACCAGAUGUGUCAGUGUUACAGCAAAAUGCUGUCAAGGACAAGUCGCCAGUUCCCAUACACAGGCCACCAUCAUGAUCACUGAGCCUCUAAUGGCCAUCACAGUGUUUGUGGAAAGCUGUAAAACUGAUCCUGUCUUCAUCACCCUGGCCACAUCUGAGCUGAUCCAGUCAGGAGCCUGUAAGCUGGGCUCAGAGCGCACAUAUACACAAUUGCCCCUGUGCCAGAGUGGCUGAUUGUGUGAUGGGGAGUGACUUUCUGACCUGUUCACAUAGCUAAUAAAACAUUCAUAGGGAGAGAGGAAUUCCAGUGUAUAGUUUUCCCCUGUCUGUGAUGUAUGGAAUCCUGCGGUGACCCCAUAGAGAGUACUGUUCUGUCUGCAAACAAAGGUCUGCUGUUUCCCUCCAUGUCAUCACGAGCUACGGCAACACUGCUAACUGCUCACCGCUAAGCCAAUCAUAUAUUUU